rnacentral:rRNA from 1 species
CCUACGGGUGGCAGCAGUGGGGAAUAUUGCACAAUGGGCGCAAGCCUGAUGCAGCCAUGCCGCGUGUGUGAAGAAGGCCUUCGGGUUGUAAAGCACUUUCAGCGGGGAGGAAGGCGUUAAGGUUAAUAACCUCGGCGAUUGACGUUACCCGCAGAAGAAGCACCGGCUAACUCCGUGCCAGCAGCCGCGGUAAUACGGAGGGUGCAAGCGUUAAUCGGAAUUACUGGGCGUAAAGCGCACGCAGGCGGUCUGUCAAGUCGGAUGUGAAAUCCCCGGGCUCAACCUGGGAACUGCAUUCGAAACUGGCAGGCUAGAGUCUUGUAGAGGGGGGUAGAAUUCCAGGUGUAGCGGUGAAAUGCGUAGAGAUCUGGAGGAAUACCGGUGGCGAAGGCGGCCCCCUGGACAAAGACUGACGCUCAGGUGCGAAAGCGUGGGGAGCAAACAGGAUUAGAUACCCCAGUAGUC